CCACCGAGGGGUUGAGGGCCCCAGUUCCUGCCACCUACUGUCAUCUGCUCGUGUGCAUGAAGGGGAGAGGCCCAGCAGCCCCUCACUCUGGGCUUCACUAGAGCUGGGGCAGAGGCAGAAGUGGGGCAUCUCCUGCUGGCCCCCCACUUCUUCCCCUGGGCCCAGGCAUGGAGGUGCCUCUCAGGAUGGAGGCCACACCACGGGAGCUGGCAGUGCGGGAACAGCCAGAUCUCAGGUCCUGGCUCUACUCCUGGGUGUACCCAGAACCUCCACAUCUCUCUCCUCACAGAUCCAGGACCUGCCGGGUUGUGUUGGAAGCUUCCACCAUGAGAUUUCAAAGGUUCUACUGCUUCUGUAUGAAAAGAGAGCCCAAGAAGGGACAGACGGGGUGGGCACUGGGUCUGUGAGAUCCUCAUUCUCCUGCCUCAGCUAAGAAAUGCUCCACCCACCAAUCCCUCUCCCUCCUCCCGUGUCCCCUUCCUUCUCUACCUUUCCUGGGAGGAUGCUGCAAGUGUCAGGCCUGGCCCCCAGGCAGGCUCUCAGCAGCUGGGAGCUCCCAUUCUGUAUGACAAAAACUUUGAGUGCCCUCCGAGGGGAUUCCCGGCAGGAGGGAUCAGCCCCGCCUCUGGCAGGUGGAAUCUGGGCUGGGGGCCCACAGCAUCCACGCCCCACCCCACCUGCCCAGCCAGGUCUGGUGGUGGCCCACUGGGCAGCUCCAUCCUGGGAAGAAGGUGGCUGUGCUCUCCUGAUCCACAAAGGCGUGUAGCCCUUUGGAGGUGAUUGAGGAUGGCGAUGACUAAUUGUGUCAGCAGUUGGUCUCAACUCGAGCCUUGUCCCGAUUAAAAUGGAAAUGCUUCCUGUGAUUUGCGGGCAGGAGCUGGAGUGGAGGGAGUGGGGACGUUUACGCAGAUUUGCAGGGAUCCUGCCCGAAAUGGAUCCGCGGAGUAAAAGCGAUUUAUCUCGGCGAGUCAGGGCCUGCAGCGUGAUUUAAUUAAGGCCAGAUCAGCCAUAGUCUUUGGCUCUCCCGUGCCCGGCAUCGCUGGGUGGCGGUGCUGAGCGGGCCCUCCUUCCCUCUCCUCCAGGACCAGGGAGGUCGGAACACACUCCUGGACUGUGAGGUUGCUCCCUCAGCUUGCCAGGCCCGUGUCCAGGACCUUGUGCCUGGACCGCAUCCCAGGCGCAGUGGGGAAGAGCAGGAUGCCUACAGUGUGGCCCUGGGGAGGGUCAAACAUGUACAGUCACCUCUCUAGGGCUUCCCACAUGGGCACUCAUCACGCCUCACAGUACAGCCAGGUCAGCAGCUGCACGGAGGGUUUGUGAAGUCACACGGCCAGUAAAUGACGGAGUUGGGACCCACACCCCAGUCAGUGUGACCUGCGACACCGUGAUCCAGGGCUGAGGACGCAAGACUCAGAGUGUAGUCACCUUCUCAGGAAUGCCUGGGUGAGGACUGAGGGAGAAGAAUAUUCUUUGGGCCUCAGGUGGGCCUGGCUGUGGAUGCUUCGUCUCUGAGAUAGGUCCUAACUGGUAAUGAUGAUUGUUAGUAAUGGCAUCCGCCAGUUGCUGUCCCACUCCUGGCAGAUGCACACACAAAGACACGAAGGAGAGGAAAGGACACACCAAAGCCUGGGAGAGACGAAGGCAGGGCACAGUCGAUGGAGCCGGUCAGGAGACCCGCGUGGGUCAGCAGGCAUCUGCUCCGUGAACUGUAGUCCCGCCCGUGACAAAGGUAGUGGUCUCGCGUGGCCCUCCAUCCAUCCCGCCUCUCAGAGCGCAGCGCGGGACCAAGCAGAGCCUGGAGCAUCCCCACGCCUGCCAGGGGGGCUGCUGCCACCCCUCCUUCUCAGCAAAGGAGAGGGGAGAGGCCGGCACCCCUGGGCCUUGCCCGCCUUUGGUGUGCAGACCCAGCCACUCUGGGGCGCCGGGGGGCCAGAGGCAGAGGGCAUAAGCUCUGUGCAAACAUCCUGCCUUCUCCCCAGGAUAUUGUCUUUAAUAAAAGACCAUGGAAAUGUCA